ACUGAUUGUGCUGCUUUCGUUGGACUCCAGGUCUGACUUCAUGCAUAAAACUGUUACGUUCUUCUAAGAUCUUUGGAGGCCCAAAAAAAGCCCCGUGGUCCAAAAGCAAAACAAAUGACUCACAGAGAAAAAGAUGGCGGAACCAAGGGCAGUUAAAGGUAAAACAGAAGACAAUGGAUC
rnacentral:lncRNA from 1 species